UACAGAGGUCUCAAGCGUUGUUCGGAUUCAUUGGGCGUAAAGGGUGCGUAGGCGGCGCGGUAAGUCGGGUGUGAAAUCUCGGAGCUUAACUCCGAAACUGCAUUCGAUACUGCCGUGCUUGAGGACUGGAGAGGAGAGUGGAAUUCCCAGUGUAGAGGUGAAAUUCGUAGAUAUUGGGAAGAACACCGAUGGCGAAGGCAGCUCUCUGGACCGUUACUGACGCUGAGGCGCGAAAGCGUGGGGAGCAAACAGG
rnacentral:rRNA from 1 species